ACUGUUGUAAAGAAAAAAAUCUCGAAACCUCCAGCAGUCCUGACGCUCCACCCGUCGAAGGAAAGGCGGCGGCCACCAUGGCGAUGCCGGCGGCGACGGACAGGCAGCUCCUGCGGCUCGACAGCUAGGAGGCUCGUGGCCGCGACGGCCCUCGCCUUCAACCAUAACCGGCCCAGCACACCAGGAGGCGACCGCACCUGUAGCCGACACACCUCUCUCUUGUUUUCCCACAGAUCUGGCCAGCGCUGGCAGCGGUGCUUCGCAGGCCCGCGCACGCCGGCGCACGCCGGUAGCGGCGGCGGAGCACCGGCUCGCGCACGUAGCUGGGGCUGCAGUGCGCCGGCCCUCGCGCACCUUAGAUGGCCGCGACUCCCCAUCUCCUCACCUACCGUUGCGCCGGCCUCCAUCGCCGACUUCCACGUGACUGACUUCACCCUUGCCCCACCCACGCCCCGGCCGCCGCCGCCGCGUGGUCCACCUCCUGCGCCUCUCCUCCGGCAAUCCGCUCAAGUCAGAUCUCCGUUGCUGGCGACCUUCCUCCCCCCCCCCCCCCCCUCCCCCCCUCCACUGCGACGACGCCCUCCUCACCGCAAGAAGGGCGUCGUCCGCACUUCUGUGCCGACAAGCCCGCGGCGGGCACCGCCCUGCACACGCUCCCCUCAUUGCUAACCGCUAUGCUCCUCAAUUAGGAGGUCAAACUGAUCAAUGGAUUAUUUGCUCCUCCUCUCUUCCUGCUAGGGUGAGUUGAUUGCGCAUAUUUAGUGUUCUCCUUCUUGCUAGGUGCUAAUUCCUUUUCCGUUGCCGCUCCAAUUCAAUGCUGCGGCGUGGUUAUUAGCCUUUUACGGAAGGAAUCUUAAGGCUGCACUACUAUAUAGGUUUUCAGCAUAUUUUCCUUUGAUAUGGACUAUUGGAAUAUAACCGACCAAAUGGAAUAUGGUGAAGUUGGUGCACUUUAUCCUUCUCAUCGCAGAUGAUAAAGUACAUAAGUUUCCCCCUCUCAUCUUUUCAUUACUUUGGAAGCAGUUACAGAUUAUUAUUUUGUUAUAUGCUAUUUAAUUUAGUGUAGAACAGAGUCAACUUCGAACAAUUUUAAACUAUUUAUGAAUCUUUUUUUAAAGAAUGAUGCCAGUAAUCAAAGCAAUGCUACGUAGAAACCAACAACCAACAAUUUCUGUAAACUAUGAGUUUUGUUUUCUUAUUGUCACAUCUUAUUCUCACUUGGUAUGUGCAGCUUAAGUUGCAACGUGACUUAUCAUAUCGACAACACUGGUUGUGGUUUAUGACAUGAAGUAAGCAAGAGCAUCACUUAUUGUAAUUGAGAAGAUACAAAAAUUAGACUACAUCCAUUUUUAUCUCUUCUUCAUUAUAAAAGUGCAAUUUCAACCUAGAAUACCUUUUUUUGUCGUAUUUGCAACAAGGCAAGCUAAUUUAUGAUUGAUUCCUCUUUUUACUAUAAAUUCGGAUAGCUAUUCUUAGCAGAUAUCAUGUGUAAAUAUUAAUACAACUGCAAGUGAUAGAACUCCUAACCAGUAACUCUUAUGUUUCGUUGUAAUAUUGGGUUACAUUUGUACUCCUUAAUGCUUGUACUACAUCCUCUAAUUGGAUCCUCAAUACUUAGGCUGCAA